rnacentral:rRNA from 1 species
GAUGAACGCUGGCGGCGUGCCUAAUACAUGCAGGUCGAGCGAACAGAUGAGGAGCUUGCUCCUCUGACGUUAGCGGCGGACGGGUGAGUAACACGUGGAUAACCUACCUAUAAGACUGGGAUAACUUCGGGAAACCGGAGCUAAUACCGGAUAAUAUAUUGAACCGCAUGGUUCAAUAGUGAAAGACGGUUUUGCUGUCACUUAUAGAUGGAUCCGCGCCGCAUUAGCUAGUUGGUAAGGUAACGGCUUACCAAGGCAACGAUGCGUAGCCGACCUGAGAGGGUGAUCGGCCACACUGGAACUGAGACACGGUCCAGACUCCUACGGGAGGCAGCAGUAGGGAAUCUUCCGCAAUGGGCGAAAGCCUGACGGAGCAACGCCGCGUGAGUGAUGAAGGUCUUCGGAUCGUAAAACUCUGUUAUUGGGGAAGAACAAAUGUGUAAGUAACUAUGCACGUCUUGACGGUACCUAAUCAGAAAGCCACGGCUAACUACGUG